AGGGUUUGAUCAUGGCUCAGGAUGAACGCUGGCGGCGUGCCUAAUACAUGCAAGUCGAGCGAUCGGCCUCGGGGUAGCAAUACUCCAAGGUACGGAGCGGCGAACGGGUGAGUAACACGUGAGCAACCUGCCUCAGAGACGGGGAUGACGCUGGGAAACCAACGCUAAUACCCGAUGACCCUGCAGUGGGACAUCCCGCAACAGGCAAAAGGUUGGGCAACCUUCUGCUCUGAGAGGGGCUCGCGGCCUAUCAGCUUGUUGGCGGGGUAACGGCCCACCAAGGCUAUGACGGGUAACUGGCGUGAGAGCGCGAUCAGUCACACCGGGACUGAGACACGGCCCGGACUCCUACGGGAGGCAGCAGUAGGGGAUCUUGGACAAUGGGCGAAAGCCUGAUCCAGCGACGCCGCGUGGGGGACGAAGGCCUUCGGGUUGUAAACCCCUGUUGUUGGGAAAGAAGCCGGGCUUCGCCCGGUGACGGUACCCGACGAGGAAGCCCCGGCUAACUACGUGCCAGCAGCCGCGGUAAGACGUAGGGGGCGAGCGUUAUCCGGAUUCACUGGGCGUAAAGGGCGCGCAGGCGGUUACGUAAGUCCGGCGUGAAAUCCCACGGCUUAACUGUGGAACUGCGUCGGAUACUGCGUUGACUUGAGGAUGGUAGAGGCCAUUAGAACUAGCGGUGUAGCGGUGAAAUGCGCAGAUAUCGCUAGGAAUGCCGGUGGCGAAGGCGGAUGGCUGGGCCACUCCUGACGCUGAGGCGCGAAAGCUAGGGGAGCGAACCGGAUUAGAUACCCGGGUAGUCCUAGCCGUAAAC
rnacentral:rRNA from 1 species